AUCUACAGCCACACCACCCUGAACAUGGUCCAAUCUCAUCAGAUCUCAGAAGCUAAGCAGGGUCGGAGCUGGUUAGUACUUGGACAGAAGAAUGAUCUUUGGAGAGAUUUUUUCUUUGAAAAAU
rnacentral:rRNA from 1 species